GGGCCUACGGGAGGCAGCAGUGAGGAAUAUUGGUCAAUGGACGCAAGUCUGAACCAGCCAUGCCGCGUGCAGGAAGACGGCUCUAUGAGUUGUAAACUGCUUUUGUACGAGGGUAAACGCAGAUACGUGUAUCUGUCUGAAAGUAUCGUACGAAUAAGGAUCGGCUAACUCCGUGCCAGCAGCCGCGGUAAUACGGAGGAUUCAAGCGUUAUCCGGAUUUAUUGGGUUUAAAGGGUGCGUAGGCGGUUUUUUAAGUUAGUGGUUAAACGUCGGGGCUUCACCUUGAUUUGCCAUUAAUACUGUAA
rnacentral:rRNA from 1 species